GAUCAAGAGUCACGUGUGCCACCGACUGAGCCAGCCAGGUACCCCGACAUCUUGCUGUUUUUUUACUUAACAUUAUGUCAGAUGCAUUUUUCUAGUGCCAUUAAAUAGUCUCUGCUAACCUGAUUUCUAAGCCGUUCGGAUGACUCCAGCCAGUGGUGGAUUCUUGGCUAAAGUGGUGAUUUCUCAUGGCUGGGCACUGCGGCUGUUUGCGCUUGCUUGCUGUAACAAAGAACACCAUGGUAAACAGCCUCCAUCCAUACAUAAUUCCAUGUCCACAUCGCUGAUUAUUUUGGUGUUUUUUUCUGAUCAGUUCCUAGACAUGAGAUUCUUGGAAGCCCUGCCCAGUGCAGAGCUGGCUGGGUAACCAGGGGAGGAGGUGGGUUUCUCAGGGCCACAUGUCCCCACCUGAGGACAGCCUGGGCCCCAGCUGUAAGGAACAACUUGCACUUUCUGAAUGCCUCAUUCUCUCUCCUACCUCCAGGCCAGUUUGUCCGGGUGUUUACCAACCCCCGCCCCCAGCUUUUUCUCUUCCCCCUUCUCUCUGUCUUGCUAACUCUUCCUCAUCUUUCCAGACACUGGCAUAAGGUUCUCCAAGGAGCUUUCCUGGAGCCCCCAGCCUGGGAGCCCCCACUGCCAUCCCCUCUGCAGCCGUGCCCGGGCCACCUCCAUCCGAGUGCUUUCUCGCUGGGUUACAAGUCCUGCUUCUUUGUCUCGUUUUCUUUGUCCCCUGAGGACAGGGCCCAGGCUGAAUUCAUCUCUGAAUUUCCAGUACUCAGGGGUUGAGCUGGCUCCUUUCAGUUUCAGUAAAUGUUUGUUGAGCAAAGGAGUGGAGAGUUGGACAAAUGAAUUGAACAAAUGAAGCAAAGUCUGUGGGGGAGGCUGAAGUGCAGACAUUGGACUUCAGAUGAGAAUGCUGUCCAGGGGGACGUAGUGGGGUGCAGAGCAGGGCCCCUGAGUCAGGAGCAAGGACCAGGGAAGGCAGGGCUCUCGUGAAAGGAAGCUGGAAGCAGGGGCCCAGCCAGUGCCGUGCAGGGUAAUGCAGACAAGAACAUUCCAGAAGAAAGAAAAGUUUCAUGGGCUCUGGAGCCCCCUGUCUGGAUUCAAAUCCUGACCCUGCUGCUUACGAACUAUGUGACCCUGAGCCAGUGACUUAGCUUCUCUGUGCCUCAGUUUUUCCAUCUGUAAAAUGUGGAUGACAAAUGCUAGUACUUCAUUCAUUCAUUCAUUCAUUCAUUCAUUCAUUCAUUCAUUUUCUUCCUCGCUUAACACUUGUUGAGUGUCUGUUCUGGGCCCAGGAUCGGAAACUGAGAGGGAGUUGACCAGCGCCGUCCCACACGCAAGCCAGCCCUGCAGCUGAGAUGGAACCCAGGUGGCGGCCGCAGCUUCUGCUCAGGACGCCCCGAAGUCCACCCAUGAACCCCGCAGUCCACCUCCCAGGCUGCCGUGGGACCAUAGGAGGUGCCGGCACAGAGGGAACGCUGUCACCGGCCUCCUACAGCAUCGUCACUGUCAGGAGUCUGUGCCGACCCACCGCAAGGUCUUGGAGAAUGCCCCCACCCCUCUGAGCCUCUGUUUCCUUUAGGGUGAACAGCCAUCUUGGUUUGCCUAGGAAGGAGGGUCUUCCCAGGGUGGGGGACUGUCUAUGUUAAAACUGGUUCAGUCCUAGGCAAACAGGGAUGGUUGGUCCCCCUAGUUUCCUCAUCUGUAACAUGGGGAACCACCUGCCCCCCAGGGCUGUGGUGCAGAACAGAAGCAUGCACAUAGGAAAGUCAGAGAAGAAUUCUAGAUCGAUUACAUGAAUAUUGAAGAAUUCUAUGUGGCAUGGAAGUCCAGUCAUGAAAAGGAAGGAGCCUACUCACAGAUACUGCUCUGGAAGCAGCUCUAAGUUACGUAUUUUUCGUGAAAAAAGCAAGACUAGGAAACCUGCAUCUGCUGCUUCGGCCGCCAAAGCCUGCUCUCUCUGCCUCUGGCCUUGGGGAGAAAGGGCCACAGCUGGUUCAGGAAGAGGCUCCAGACGCAGCCUGAGACUACCCCCCGGACCUGACCGCCACCGACCAGCCUCCCGUGAGCGCCCAGCCCAGCCCCGCCUUGAGCUUCCAGACACGUGGCCAGGCUCUUUUUCUUUUUUAAAUUUAGGAUGACGCACAUAUUUCAGGAAAAUGUUCUCAUUGUAAUAUCUCAAACAUUAAUAAAAUGUAGCGAAUGAAAACCCAA